AGCCAAGCCCACUCACUUGAUCCAUAAUAUCACUAGAGCCAUUUCAUGGUACUGGGCCUGGUGGCCAUAUAAGACCAAAAUUAGUAAUCCCUUGAAGCCACUUUGAAUAAUCACCUUAACUUUCUCUCCAGCAACAAAAGUACAAAAACAACUGCACUGGCUUGUGAUAAUCAGACGGUAAAACCUCUGCUUCUGAACGAGAAAGAUCCCGAAAAUUCUCAAUCAAGCGGAAGAGAUUCUUUUUUAUCCCAGUUUCUAGUGUGUUUUUGUUUAUGGGUUUUGUUUAUUACCUAACAGUUUUCUUAAUUAUUGAAGAUUGAGUUGGGUUACAGAGCUCAGCUGGGACUUGGAAUGCUAUAAUCUUUACUAUUAAGGUUUCUUUAUGUCUUUUCACCUUUCAUGUUUUCGUUCUAACCGAACCUAGCUAUGUCCCUUCUCCUUAUGUUCCUGAUGCUGAAGGCGCUGCUGUCCCACCACAUCAAGAACCACUCAAUAAUGUAUUGGGUCCAAACAUGCUGAAAUGGUUUUGCCCCACAGCAGUGAGCCAUCUAAAAGAUGGAAUGAGCUACCCAACUGCGCAUGAUAGUUGAUACAUAUGAAAUAAUUAAAAGUUGCACGUUAAAUUUUCUCGUGUAAUAUACAUACCGAAGUCCUUGCAGAGUUGCAGUUCAUUUAAACCAAGUAACCUAGUACAUGCUUCUAUAGUUUCUUGUCAUGAAGGCUAUUAUUUGAUAUAUUGUUGAUUUAGGUUUUUCAGUCUGCUCCUAUCACUCGGUCAAUCAAUAAAAUAUUUCCAAUCCAUAACAACCUCAAAAAUAUUUUGAGAUAGAGCUGGAGCUGGAGAUUUGAUCACGUAUAUUCACAUCUGUAGUAGAUGGCUGUUUGCAAGGAAGAAUGAAUGGGUCAUUCAUUUGGUGCAAUACGUGACAUGGGCACCCCUGAUGACAGACCUAUGGCGUUAAUAAAUUGAGGACAGAAUACGUGGGUUUCUUUGGCGUAUCGGUCUUUGGUUGAUAAUAUCUGAAGAAAUAGAGUCACAGCAACAGCAGCAAAAGGUUAGUUGGAAUCAUUUUUGGUGUCGCUAGCAUCGUGCAAACUCUAUAAUGAUACUGAACUUUGUAUGUGAUGGACAUUGUGGCUUAUCGGGCGUCCAUGGUUAACAAAAACACUCAUGAGAUUUUGACGAGUCAAAGAAUCACCCACAUUUAUAGAAGGGCCUCGUCAAUUUGUUCAAUAUUGAAGGCUCUCGAACAGUAGAAAGUUCUGAUCAAUCAAAACAAUUGUUGACUAUUAAUUUGUAGA